rnacentral:lncRNA from 1 species
CAAAUAUAUCAAACUAAAUACCGAAUUUGAAUUCGUAUAUAGUUGUAAUUGUAAUACAGUUAUAACUAAAUAAAAUACUACAAUAAAAACGGUAUAUAGCGAUACUUUUAAAUGUCGAUACAAAUUAAAAAAAGUGCUAGUGUUGCUAUUUAUGGAGUCGCUAUAUGUGGGGCCGUCUUGAUGUUUGGCACCCACUCCUUUAGUGAUAUGUAGCGAAAAGCCGGAAAGACACGUAGCAAUCGUAGUCCUCUACGGUCCUUGUAAGAUCCUCGCGACCGAAUUCCAGCCGUCGGAGCACUACCUCGUCAACUGCCGCGACGAAGAAGAAGAAAGGGCGAUGGUGAUCAAUUUUUAUUUUUAUUUUUUCCUUUUCUAGUUGUAAUCGGACCGAGUGGGCUGGGUGGUGUUGAUUUAGUAGAGGAACUUUUUAUUUUUGAUUGGAUUGGACUUUAUAUUUAACUCUUAUUCGAUUUUUUUUAAAAUUUUGGUAUAAAUAGAACAUUUACACAAAAAUAUUCAAAAAAAUGUAUUCCUAUGAUCUAAUUCUGUUGUAGUAAAACUAAUAAGCUCUGAAAAAUUGUAUCAAUUACGGCACUAUAUUUUA